rnacentral:rRNA from 1 species
AGCAGCCGCGGUAAUUCCAGCUCCAAUAGCGUAUAUUAAAGUUGUUGCAGUUAAAAAGCUCGUAGUUGAAUUUCGGGGUUAGUAGGUUGGUCAUGCCUCUGGUAUGUACUGGUCUCACUGAUUCCUCCUUCCUGAUGAGCCGUAAUGCCAUUAAUUUGGUGUUGCGGGGAAUUUGGACUGUUACUUUGAAAAACUUAGAGUGUUUAAAGCAAGCUAACGCUUGAAUACAUUAGCAUGGAAUAAUGAAAUAGGACGUUCGAUCCUAUUUUGUUGGUUUCUAGGAUUGACGUAAUGAUUAAUAGGGAUAGUUGGGGGCAUUAGUAUUCAAUUGUCAGAGGUGAAAUUCUUGGAUUUAUUGAAGACUAACUACUGCGAAAGCAUUUGCCAAGGAUGUUUUCAUUAAUCAAGAACGAAAGUUAGGGGAUCGAAGACGAUCAGAUACCGUCGUAGUCUUAACCAUAAACUAUGCCGAUUAGGGAUCGGAUGAUGUUAAUUUUUAAUGACUCAUUCGGCGCCUUAA